rnacentral:rRNA from 1 species
AUUGAACGCUGGCGGCAGGCUUAACACAUGCAAGUCGAACGAGUGGCGGACGGGUGAGUAAUGCUUGGGAAUCUAGCAUAUGGAGGGGGAUAACUACGGGACACUGUAGCUAAUACCGCGUAACAUAGGAUGAGCCCAGGUGGGAUUAGGUAGUUGGUGUGGGAAAGGCUCACCAAGAAGACGAUCUCUAGCUGGUCUGAGAUGAUGACGAGCAACACUGGGACUUAGACACGGCCCAGAAUCCUCCGGUAGGCAGCAGGGGUGAUGAUUGAGCAAUGGGGGCAACCUGACGCAGCCAUGCCGCGUGGAUGAAGAAGGCCUUCGGGUUGUAAAGUUCUUUCUGUAUCGAGGCGUUAACUGCAGAAGAAGCACCGGCUAACUCCGUGCCAGCAGCCGCGGUAAUAC